UUUUUAUAUGUUGUGUAC
rnacentral:siRNA from 1 species